GAGGUGUGGCUGAGUGGUCGAUAGCGGCGGUCUUGAAAACCGUUGUACCUGUGAGGGUACCGGGGGUUCGAAUCCCUCUGCCUCC
rnacentral:tRNA from 2 species